AUUUGGCGGAUCGAUUUUCUAUGUUUCCCGCUCGCCAAGUUAAAUAUUUCCACCAAUAGAAAAUGUCAACCAAUAGAAAUUUCCACCAAUAGGAUAUCCGCUAGAUGAUGCCAUUCCACGAAACGUUAGUCAAAUGUUGAAAGUUGUAGCGGUCAAAUGUAUCACUUUUGCUUCCUAUACGGUAUAACAGGUCAAUCACAGUUUCUACUUCUCCCUAUCUUCUGGAGAGGAUAUACCGAUGCUUCAAAAGCCAGAAAUAUAAUAGAUCUUGAAUGUACAUGCGCAAAAGGAGGGUGGUGGAAUCUCCACGUACAACAACUUUCACCUAGCCAAUUAGUAUUAUUUGAUAUACAAAUACUAAUUACAUCACUGCGAGAUACAAUUAUGAAUUUUAUAGCUUGAUUGGCUGCAGUCGUUAUUACGUUUUUGUGUAAAUAGAAAAUUUACUCGGUACUUAAUUAACGUCUGUUUAAAUUUUUAUUAAUUACAUAUAAUUAUUAUAAAAAUAUAGUAUCAUUUACAAAUAAUUAAGUUGAGCUUUUUUAAGUUCGGUGUACUGUCCAGUUUAAUAAUUUGUAAUAAAUAACGGAACUAUGAUACAUGGAAGAUAUUAAUUUUUGUAUUAGUAAUUAAUAGUUUGAUACCGCCUCAUACAGAGUCCCUCCAAUUUAACAAUGGGAUAUAUACAUGUAUUUAUUUAUUUAGAUAUGUAUGUAUUUCACGAUUUUGAACUUGGACUUGAACUUUUGUUUGUUACAUUAGUCUUACUUCCUUAAAUUAUUAUACAUAUAAUAUUUUAUUUUUGUAAUCUUUGAUAAUUUAUAAUUAAAUUUAUGUAUAUAAUAAUUUAAGAAAGUAAAUUAAUCAAAAGUUCAAG